AUGCGUCUUUUGGAAGAUCAGAUAAAGGCCUGUGCAUAUAUAUUUUCAGCAUCGCUAGAUCCAUCUGAAGAACUUGUCGUAACAAAUACAAUCAGAGCAACUAGAUCAGACUUUGCACAUUUCAUACCUGACAGACCCAUUACUGAUAAGAUUCUUGAAUUAGCGGCAUUGAAA